GCCCGACACCCCCUCUUUCCCUUUCCCUCUUUCCCUUCCCUUCUCCUUCUUCCUCGAUACCGGCAGCAGCAAGACCUUCACCAUUUCCUUCUUCUUCCUUCUGAAUUUCGAGUGCCACAAGUGAGAUUCAUCACCUUCUCUUUGAUUCAAACGGGUUCUUUUCCUUCCCCUUCUUUUCGGUACAGUUGAGUACGGCAGCGGGGCAUCGGACCCGACCUUCAUCGAACUAGGAACAAGCUAAGGAGACGACGUCAUCGAGGAACCUUUCUAGUGAUCGCGGAGAAACGGUCUACGCUUCUUGAAGCGUCAUUGUUGUUACAGAUCGGAUUCAGACGGGAACGAUGGGUUAGCGGUGUUGAUUAGAAUUCCAAGGAUGUCAUAUUGAGCUGAGCAUGUGGGAAUUUUGUAGUUUUGUAUUAGAUUUUGGAUAAAUGUAUAUUAGACUUGGUUAUAUUGGUUGUAGUGGACUUAAAGUGAAUUGUAUGAUUACCUUGUGUUUUAGUUAGAUGUUUGAUUUGAAAAUUAGCUGAGUUAGUUACGUUAAA